CUUAACUCCUUCCGCCCUUUCGGCGUUUUGGGCACCGCUCGCUCUCGCGAGGGCAAAUCCGGCGAUUGAUCGGAGAACGAUCGAGCUUACGGUACCUUCCUCGUCUCACUGCCUCUCUUCUUCCGCUCUUCGAGGUUGACAUGUUGCCCGCUCGUUGUUGUGUUCCGUCGCCUCCUUGGCUCGUAGUCAUAGCCCUUAGCUAACAUCACCAAUCCAUUCUUGUUUUUCGCCCAAGGCAUUAGGCGCAGAAAGCAUGAGGUGAUCCUCGCCACGGUAUGACUACCACCUUUACAUCCUUCUCCUAAUUCAAAUGAUAUGGCUCAAUCCAUUAGUGUGAUUCUGUGUCCAUCAAACAAUCGACAAGUUGGGGAAAACUAGGUACGGUGAAGGUGGCGCCAGGGCAUUUCCGUAACCACCUGAUGCCUGGUUACUUGAUGCCUAAGCUGCUUGCGGUCACAAACAUAGAGAAGUAUGCUUUCCUCAUGCGGGAGCAACGUGAGGUUUGCUCCUUGUCUUUCUCUUUUGUGUUCUCUGAUUGAAUAUCCGUUGACUAUGUAGGAGUUUAAGGUACAAUAUCAAUUCCUUUGGUUGUGACAUAAGCAUGUUGCCUUUGGUCAAUUAAUGUAAGAAAACCUAACCAUGAUGAUGUUUCCAUCCUCCCAUCUAACAUUGGUGAACAUUCAAUAUUUCGAUC